GAGGGUGGACAGGUGGUGCAUGGUUGUCGUCAGCUCGUGUCGUGAGAUGUUGGGUUAAGUCCCGCAACCGAGCGCAACCCUCGACCUUAGUUGCCAGCAUUCAGUUGGGCACUCUAAGGUGACUGCCGGCUAAAAGUCGGAGGAAGGUGGGGAUGACGUCAAAUCAUCAUGCCCCUUAUGACCUGAGCUACACACGUGCUACAAUGGGCGGUACAAAGGGUCGCGAACCCGCGAGGGGGAGCCAAUCCCAAAAAGCCGCUCUCAGUUCGGAUUGCAGGCUGCAACUCGCCUGCAUGAAGCCGGAAUCGCUAGUAAUCGCGGAUCAGCAUGCCGCGGUGAAUACGUUCCCGGGCCUU
rnacentral:rRNA from 1 species